GCUACCUGAAUUCUGUUUCUUUGCAAAAUUUUAUCCUUUCAUGAUUUCCAUGCAUAAUUUAUCACCUAAUCUUUCAUAACAACAAAUACCUUCAUCCUUAAUCAUUUUAAUAACCAUACAUCAUCAAAUACUUACACAUCACUCAUUAGCAAAAUCAUCACUACAAACAUACAAAAUAACUAAAUCCCUAUACAUGCCAUAACUUAAACGUGUUUCGAUAUAAAAUACCGAGCAGUUGUAGUUGAUAGUGUGGACGAUCUCCGACUUCUUUAGGAUCCUUGAAGUAGCUUUGCAAUACUAUAAGAGAAAGAGAAAUAAAAGAAGUAAGCAUAAAGCUUAGUAAGUUUACUAGCAAAUAAAUAACAAUAUUUAACUUAAAUAAUUAAACUCAAUGUCUAUAUCUCUAGUUUACUCUUUAGUUAAUCUCAUACUAGUUCUCUUACUUGUUUACUUAGAAUAUUUGUGUGCAUAACUUACUCAAUCCUUGCUGCAUCGUUGAACAUCAAUUGAUAGUAUAAUAAGUUCUUAAGUCUUACAACUUACCUGAGCUUGCCUUUUAUGCUUUAAACUGAACUUUCAUGAACAUGAUUCGUUUACAAGCCCGUUGAACUACAUUGGAAUAAUAAGGAUACUCGGGUCUCUUCUGAUAAUAACAUGCCAAAGCCAUGUCCCAGACAUGGUCUUACAUGGGAUGUUCUCGUGAUGGUGCCCAUGCCAUGUCCCAGACAUGGUCUUAUAGGGGACCUCUCAUCUCGGUGCCAACGCCAUGUCCCAGACAUGGUCUUACAUGGGACCUCUCGUCUCGGUGCCCAUGCCAUGUCCCAGACAUGGUCUUACAGGGGACCUCUCAUGAUCUUAAGGAUGCCAAUGCCAUGUCCCAGACAUGGUCUUACAUGGGAUCUCUUUACCCAAAUGUCAUGACAUUCGUAUCCAGUACCAUCCUUAUGUAUUAACGGGACUUUUAAAUUUUAAUUCUCUAUCAUUUCAUGCUUGGAUCAUCAUCAAAUAAAUUCAUAAAAUAAAUUCAUAAUUGCUGGAAAUUAACAGCAUUAAUAAUAAAUAUUGAAAUAUUGCAUUUAUUUACCGUAAACUUACCUCGGUACCAAUUAUAGCCAAAUUCACCAACUUAGUGUUCAACUUUAUUCUUCCCUUUGUCUAACCUCGAGUUUCGUACUUCUUGAUCAAUUGAAUUUAGAAGUUUUGAAACCCCUGAACCGUCGCUCUUUCUUUUUCUUCUUUCUCCCUUCUCUGUUUCGUUUUGCUCUCUGUUUCUUUCUUUCUCAUUUCUAUUCUUUCUUUUGUUAUAUAUA
rnacentral:lncRNA from 1 species